AAGAGAUAGCCCAGCAAUCAAAUCCUUCCUUUAUCAGAAUCCAAGGCUGCAUGAGGGGAAAAUUAUCAUAUUCAAUGUCCUUUGGGACUGAUAAGUCAAGGAGGAGGAGGGGUUGAGGGUGGUUUGUAGGGGGGAUGAACUUGAAAGCUGACCAUUGGAUGUUUUACUGAGGAAUGACAGCCCUGGCUGAGCAGCUGUAGCCGGCUGAGGUUUGUGGCCGAGACUCCUGCAUGCGUUUUGGAUUUGUGAAACAGCUGUGGUAAAGAGUUGGGAGAGAUCAUGACAGCCAAAUAGUGAAAGGGCAGAAACGGGCCAGAGAGGUAGAUUCCAUUCAGAAGAUUGGAAUGGAUUUUGGUGCAUCGGGCAUGGCUACAGCACAAACACACAGAGGAAAUCAGUGAUGCUUUUCGUGGACCAGACUCCAUCCACAGGGGGAAAAGAAAACGUUCAACUUCCUGGCUAGAAAACUGAACUGACAAGCAGCUACCAACCGACAUGCCCACAAACAGGGGAUUCCGAGAGUUCCGUAGAUUAAUUGUUACUCUUGGAAAGGUUUUUUCGGAAAAUCAGCAAAGCACCUAAAGCAUACUGAAGCCUUUUCUCACAUUCAGGGUGAUGAGUUUAACACUUCCAGCUUGUUUGGAACAAACACAAGAAUUAAGUAGAAAGACAAAGUAAACAGAUCUACCUACACAUGAUCAGCUUUGCAAAGCGAAGACACUGAGCCUUACAACAGCGCCUUCUUAGGUCUUACAUCUUACUUGGACUUGGAUUUACCGCCUUGUCUGCCUCAAAGUUCAGUAAGUUUCAACUCUGACCUCAUUUGUCAGUGGCCUAUCAAUGUGCACAAAAUGAGUUUACAGCUGUCUGUCACCUAAGAUAACGGGACCAGUGAUGGACGAUGCCCCGAAUCUUUGUUCAUAGUGGGGUUCUUACUCAUCUUAUUCUCCAAUGGACAAUUAUUUCCAGUGCAUUGUUUUGUGGAAAUACAGUCUUUGCUUGGCUUGUUGUUUAAAUUUCCCGGCACUCAUUGCUGACGUAAACCCCUGUGCUCCGCCUCCACGGAGGGCCUGACAGCAAAUCCAAGGAAAGAGUCAUCCCAGUACCCACUCGCACUACGUGACUGAGGGGUGAUUUCUGGGAAGAACAAAAAAUAAAUGCCACAGCAAUGAGCCGCUGAGCAACAAAGAUGUAGGUAGAGUUUCAAGUCAACCUGCUUCACCGCUACCACCUCCAGUUAUUGACUCCAUACAUCCACACAAAGCACACUCUCUGAUCUCAACCAAAUGUCAUGACAUUUUGAACGCUCCAUCUCUCUGUUACUGCUUCAAAGUGCAGCCAAGCACAGGCAGAGUGAAUGGAAAUGGAUUCCAUACUCACACACAGAUGCAUUUGAUUUAAUAAAAGAGCUGGGCCUGUAUUUCUUAAUUUAUUCUGAAUCUCUCAGAGGAAUUACGCUGUAGGAAGUUUGAUUUCAUGUUUUUAUUAGGUUGCAUGGAGGGUAAUCUUUAUUAUCAUACAAUAUUAACUUGAAACCUUCCUUUCCAUUUGUUUUAAGAGGUGAGGUAAUGAAAGGAGAAGAGAAGGCAGAUAAAACUUGCCUGGAGCUGAUAAAAACAGGACCACUCUGCCACACACACACACACACACAGACACACACACUCUUUUUAGGAACAGGUGCUUUCCAUCCUGUGAGAUGGUCUUGGGCU